AAUAAAGCAUUCAGCUACUUCGCCGCUACGAGCUACGAUCCGCCGCGCCAUCUGCAAGGCCGUCUGUGUUAUCUCGUUUAUUGUUUACGUCGUGGGUGGUCGUGUUGGUCGAGCGAAGAGAGGUGGAUGACAUGUUCGUGGUUGUUGUGUGAAUUAUUCGAGAGGCCUAAACAUCCCUGGUGUAGUUUUGGUGUUCGGGGAUGCAAAAAUCAUGUUCGUUCACCAUCGGCGGCGGGCAUUUUCUACCACAAGAUUCAAGAGGAGAGUGCGCGAAAACGAAUGUGGUUCGAAACAGUCGGCUAUUAGAUGUAGCAGUCGUGUCGUGUCUGCUGAGCUCAUUUUGCUGCCGAUGACUAAGAAGAUGCCGUAGAAGGCGAAUUGCGAAGACGUCCGAAGGAAACUGCCGUUCAGUAACCAGUGAUUUUGCUUCACCGAGGUGACGAGUUCAACACAACGUCUUAGGUAUGUACAGGCGUCACACAUGUAUAAAUUAUAAUAUAGCGACGACGUAUUCCAUUUAACUUAUGUUAUCCUACUUGUCCCGUACUCAACAUUGUCAACAUCAACAAAUUUAAUUUUAGGGGCCUUCCAGUGUUGAAGUGGCGUAAAACUGUUUCGUGUGUGUGUGUGAUCCAGGCACUGACAUGACAGAAAUAGCUGAAAACAGUCUUUGGACAGGUGCAGAACAUUCGUAUGACGUCAACAAGGGGAGAAGAAACUGGUGAGAACUACUAGCUUGUUUGAAGGGUACAAGAAUACUUCCUGUUGAGAUGUAGUUGUGACUUUAUGACUAAGGAACGCUAAUUAAUUUUCUAGAGAUGCAUCCUCUACACUUGAAUGCCCAGUGAAACAGCAAACGUCCGUUGUCUUUGAAGUCCCACUACUGGAAUUGUUCAAUGUGUGUCAGAGCUGCAGUGAGCCAUGCAAGGUUACCACAUCAUAUUGGUCCUAAAUUUGCAGAGUUCCCCUAUCUCGGACGCAACUGUCAUUUCUCUUUAUUGCUCUUCCGAUCCUACCUUCUCAGAGAUUAAUGUGGUUCACCAUACACUGCAUGGGUACUGCCUUUCUCUAUACUCAUGCUUUCGGUUUCUUGUUCUGUUGAAUAAAUCUUCACUUGAGUUUGAGAGCCAUCACGCUGUCUACUGUGUUUGCCCGUCAUCUAUAUUGAGUGCUGUAACGGUAUAGCACAUCGACAUGCCAACAGCCUACCAAACAACCUUGCUUAGUCCUACUUUUGGAUGGAAACUACACGAUGUGGUAACAUCUACAUAUAUAAAGUUUUAAUCGACGGAGAUUUGCUGUUUUUGUACAACCAUCAUUGUACAUUUCUUUUGUCUCACUUAGCAUGCCUGAAGAAAUGUUCUGAUCUUCAUCAAGAUGACAGGUCAUUGUUCGAUCUGCAGCAUUAUUGUUCCUGUAAUCUUUUCACCAACAGAGAAUACAAAAGUGAACAAAUGGUUUUACAACUCUAUCAAGUACGUCAAAACAUCAGAGGGCAGGAAGUCCUACUCUGUUUCCUAAAUCCCUGGACAAUAAAAAAGAAA